rnacentral:rRNA from 1 species
GAUGAACGCUGGCGGCGUGCCUAAUACAUGCAAGUCGAGCGAACAGACGAGGAGCUUGCUCCUCUGACGUUAGCGGCGGACGGGUGAGUAACACGUGGAUAACCUACCUAUAAGACUGGGAUAACUUCGGGAAACCGGAGCUAAUACCGGAUAAUAUAUUUAACCGCAUGGUUAAAUAGUGAAAGACGGUUUUGCUGUCACUUAUAGAUGGAUCCGCGCCGCAGUAGCUAGUCGGUAAGGUAACGGCUUACCAAGGCGACGAUGCGUAGCCGACCUGAGAGGGUGAGCAGCCACACUGGAACUGAGACACGGUCCAGACUCCUACGGGAGGCAGCAGUAGGGAAUCUGCAGCAAUGGGCGAAAGCCUGACGGAGCAACGCCGCGUGAGUGAUGAAGGUCUUCGGAUCGUAAAACUCUGUUAUUAGGGAAGAACAAAUGUGUAAGUAACUAUGCACGUCUUGACGGUACCUAAUCAGAAAGCCACGGCUAACUACGUG